rnacentral:snoRNA from 1 species
GCCCUGUGGUUACCAGACCUGGCAUUUCCGUGCAGUACUCUGGUUUUAUUAAAAGGGCAGAAAGAAAAGCUGUGAAAUUAUGCAUGGGGCAUGUACUGUAUUUGUCCCCAUAGCCCGGUCACAGUAACAUUU